rnacentral:tRNA from 1 species
GGCCUUAUAGUUAAUUUAAUAUCAAAUUGCAAAUUUGAAGAUGGAAAUCAUUUUUCUAAGGCUU